AUGACUGGAGUGGGAAGAAACAGGCUGCUGUUGAUCUGCUAUCUCCUCCUCCUUGCUAUGCUUAUCACUGGUGGUGGUGGUGUUCUAGCUGCUCGUCCUUUCUCGCCUUGGACUCUCGAGACAGAACAUGAGGGCUUAGCAAGACCAGAAGGAGGACCACCUGCCGCGGGGAGCUGGCCAACGGCGGUGAUGGACCGGCGCGGGAGGAGGCGGCGGCUGGUGGGGUCGAGGGCUCCGACGUGCACCUACAACGAGUGCCGGGGUUGCCGGUACAGGUGCAGCGCUCGUGGAGUCCCCGUCGACGCCACCGAUCCGAUGAACAGCGCCUACCACUACAGAUGUUUCUGCCAUGUCUAG
rnacentral:rRNA from 1 species